rnacentral:lncRNA from 1 species
CGGAAGCCCUGCGGGCUGAUUGCACAUGCUUUCUGGCUUCAAGAGAGCACCAUCUCCUCAUCAUUGGCUUUGUUGUCUUUAGGCAUUAGCAUGUGUGUGGAGCGUUCCGCAGUCCUCUUCUAAUCGAGUGAAUGGACCUCACAGAGCUCAUAUGUGAGUGCUGAGGAUGGCUGUGUGGGUGGGACUGUGUAAGAGACCAGAUACAGGCAACGCUAGAUAAUGCUCUACACCCCGUACGCAGCAGAUGGGAAAGAUCCAGGGUGGCACGACGCCCGUUUCCACAGGGUCAUUCCAACCAUUAGACCACCAACGUCAGGUGACUGCUGAUGGGAAACCUCCACCAAGUGUUCAAGAAACGCGGGAAUGAGCCAAGAUGCUGCAGAGUGUGCCAGCUCGCCGGAAUUGGCAGCAGAGCCCGACUGUUCGCUGCUUUCCGCCGCCAGCGAGAGAGGAAAGUGGAGCGGUAAUUGACAGCACUUGCAAGAAUAUUUUGAGUCCUUCAAAAACCCUUGGUUCUCACCUAAACCUCCCAUUGUUUCUCAUCAUCAUUGUGCAUUCACGGAGUGGAGCAACAUUCCUCUAUGCAGCUUGGCUCAAGGUUUUUUUGAUCUCCACACAUUGCGACUGAGGUGAGGGGAAGUGAGGUCUUCUGAUGUCUAUGGCUCCUCAUGCCCAAAGUUUGAAUUUCAUUAAAGACCCUCUCUGCUCCCUCGGCUACCAGGAACAAAGCCUGAGCCGGACUCAAUGGUAAUCCUGCCUGCGAGGCGCCGGUGUCAAAGGUCACUCGUCGCCAGCAGAUGAAUCCUGUGGUUGGGGUGGCAGAGGCUAUGAUGGAGAGGAGAAGAAGACAGAGGAGCUCUUUUUCUCAGGUUAUCCAGGGAGAAUCUAAUGAGGAGGAUUGGAGGAGAGAGAGAGGAGCCAUGCGGCUGCUUGGGUGGAGGCAGGAGGCGAGCCGCGGGAAAACUUCAAUACGGAAGGAGAGGAGGAUGAGGUAGAGAGGGUAGAAAACUCUAAUGCGUAACAUGAAAAAAACAAGGGGGAGAGUGAAACAUAAGGCACAAUCAGAGGUUGCAUUCUGUGGUGUUGCAUGAGAGCCACUUAGUGCCUGAGGACAAGCCCAAGGCUAAUAAAGCUGAAAGUUGGUAGAAGCUCUGACCUUGCUUUGGAAAAGAAAAGCCCUAAUAAGGACACAGUCUAAAGAGAGAGAGACAGAGAGAGAGAGAGAGAGAGAGAGAGGAAAAAGAAAAAAAAAAACUUUCCUGUUUCUCUCCAGAGCAAACACUCUCUCCAUCGCUUUUUUUUUUUCAUACACUCGCCUUUCAUUAUAGCACAGAGAGGGAGAGGAACCUAUAGGCGGCCUAAUGAAGGGGACCGUUGGAUCGGAUACAUUAAAAGAACGGAUUAGACAGUGUCUGACAUGGAAACUGACUUUGAACAUGUUCGCAGUGCAUGAUUAGUAAUAGACUG